GUCCACGCCCUAAACGAUGUCAACUAGGUGUUGGGAGCGCAAGUUCUCAGUACCGCAGCUAACGCGUGAAGUUGACCGCCUGGGGAGUACGGUCGCAAGAUUAAAACUCAAAGGAAUUGACGGGGACCCCGCACAAGCGGUGGAUGAUGUGGAUUAAUUCGAUGCAACGCGAACAACCUUACCUACCCUUGACAUGUCUGGAAGGCUGCUGAAAGGCGGCUGUGCCCGAAAGGGAACCCGGAACACAGGUGCUGCAUGGCUGUCGU
rnacentral:rRNA from 1 species